AUAACACUCCCUCCGUCUGGAAUUACUUGUCGCAAAAACACAUAGAAAUAAAUGUAUCUAGAACUAAAAUACAUCUAGAUACAUUCAUUCUUGUGACAAGUAAUUCCGGACGGAGGGAGUACUAA
rfam:Triticum urartu cultivar G1812 contig167277, whole genome shotgun sequence.